rnacentral:tRNA from 1 species
UAGUUAUUAAUUUAAUUAAAAUAUUAAUUUUGUAAAUUAAAUAUAAGAAAAUUCUUAUAACUAA